UUUAAUUGAAGAGUUUGAUCAUGGCUCAGAUUGAACGCUGGCGGCAGGCCUAACACAUGCAAGUCGAACGGUAACAGGGAGCAGCUUGCUGCUCUGCUG
rnacentral:rRNA from 1 species